CAAGUCGAACGCCUCUAGCAAUAGAGGAGUGGCGCACGGGUGAGUAACGCGUGGGAACCUGCCCUGGAGUGUGGGAUAACCCGGCGAAAGCCGGGCUAAUACCGCAUACGACCUGAGAGUGAAAGAUUUAUCGCUCUAGGAGGGGCCCGCGUCGGAUUAGCUAGUUGGUGAGGUAACGGCUCACCAAGGCGAUGAUCCGUAGCUGGUCUGAGAGGAUGAUCAGCCACACUGGGACUGAGACACGGCCCAGACUCCUACGGGAGGCAGCAGUGGGGAAUAUUGGACAAUGGGGGCAACCCUGAUCCAGCAAUGCCGCGUGGGCGAUGAAGGCCUUCGGGUUGUAAAGCCCUUUUGCACGCGACGAUGAUGACGGUAGCGUGAGAAGAAGCCCCGGCUAACUUCGUGCCAGCAGCCGCGGUAAUACGAAGGGGGCGAGCGUUGUUCGGAAUUACUGGGCGUAAAGGGCGCGCAGGCGGCCCUUAGAAGUCAGAUGUGAAAGCCCCGGGCUCAACCUGGGAAUGGCAUUUGAUACUCUGAGGCUGGAUUACGGGAAAAGAAAUUGGAAUUCCCAGUGUAAAGUGAAAUUCUUAAAUUUUGGGAAAAACCCC
rnacentral:rRNA from 1 species